AGCGGGGUGGGGAAGUCAGGUCAUCCCGGCGGGCUCAUAACCCGCAGAUCAGUGGUUCAAAUCUACUCCCCGCUACCA
rnacentral:tRNA from 1 species